rnacentral:rRNA from 1 species
CUGAGAUCUUGCGCAUGACGCAGCCUGAUGAUCGAUGCCGCGUGAGUGAUGACGUCUCUGCGAUUGUAAGCUCUUUCGUCCGGGACGAUAUGUCGUACUAGUAGAUAGCAUGACAGUACGUGCAUAGCGCGUUAAUACGUGCGCAGCGCGGUAUCAA